UUGUGAUCCUUCUGCCUCAGCCUCCUGAGUCCUGGGAUUACAGAUUAUGCAAUGGUGAAAUGAAGUAACUCAAGAUGAGCAAGUUAAAAGUGAUAUCAGAGAAAAGUACUGGGGAUCGAACUUGGGACCUUGGGCUUGCGAGGCAGGCGGCAGAACCACUGAGCUAAAUCCUCGGGCCCCUACCUUUGGUUUUUGUAUAGCCAAUAGCCCUAAUGGUUGUUACAUUGUUCUAAAAAACCCCCAAAAUUAUAAUACAGUGAACUCUUGAGUUACAGCUGGCACAAAGGAACAACUUGGGUUACAGCUGCAACUUUAGUUUUAACUUACAACCAAAGUCUUGAGUUAUAACCUGAAUGCUGGUCUUUCCUGUGUGGGGUUAAUUGAGAAAUCUUAGGCCAAUGUCUU